GACACUUUGGCUGAGUGGUUAAGGCAUGUGCCUGCUAAGUAAAUGGGGUUUCACCACGAGAGUUCGAAUCUCUCGGGCGUCA
rnacentral:tRNA from 1 species